CACUCUUUUAACAUUGACAUUGUCUAUUUUCAAUUCUUAUUAUUAUUAUUAUUAUUUUAAAUAGAUUAAAGUGCAAAUUCAUGAAUAUUUCUUAUUAAUUUCUUAUUUCUUUUAUUAUACUACAGAAUUAUAAUAUCAGCAUUAUAAUAAAAUUAACUUUGAGCUAUUUUAAAUAGUGGAUAGUGCAACAUGAAAUAUUUAUUAAUAAAUCAUAGUUUUAUCUUUCG
rnacentral:lncRNA from 12 species